rnacentral:snRNA from 1 species
UUGGAGUGCGAGGCUUAGCUUAGAAUUCGUUUCUUGCCUUUUACCAGAGACGACCUGGAAGCCCGCAUAACACUCCAUUUAGUAAUCUUUGGAACCCACUCUCUGGUUCGA